AAUCGAAGCAACGCGAAGAACCUUUACCAGGUCUUGACAUCCCGAUGCUAUUCUAGAGAUAGAAAGUUACUUCGGUACAUCGGUGACAGGUGGUGCAUGGUUGUCGUCAGCUCGUGUCGUGAGAUGUUGGGUUAAGUCCCGCAACGAGCGCAACCCCUAUUGUUAGUUGCCAUCAUUCAGUUGGGCACUCUAGCGAGACUGCCGGUAAUAAACCGGAGGAAGGUGGGGAUGACGUCAAAUCAUCAUGCCCCUUAUGACCUGGGCUACACACGUGCUACAAUGGUUGGUACAACGAGUUGCGAGUCGGUGACGGCGAGCUAAUCUCUUAAAGCCAAUCUCAGUUCGGAUUGUAGGCUGCAACUCGCCUACAUGAAGUCGGAAUCGCUAGUAAUCGCGGAUCAGCACGCCGCGGUGAAUACGUUCCCGGGCCUU
rnacentral:rRNA from 1 species